UCGAGUGGGUUUAGGCCCACGGCGAACGGGUGAGUAAUACCUAGGAACGUAUCUUUAGUUGAGCAUAUGCCACCGAAAGGUGGUGCAAUUCUCAAUGUGACCGCAAGGUUAAAGUCGCAAGACGCUAAAGAAGCGGCCUGGGCACCAUCAGCUAGUUGGUAAGGUAAAAGCUUACCAAGGCUAUGACGGUUAGGGGUCCCGAGAGGGAUAACCCCCACACUGGAACUGCGACACGGUCCAG
rnacentral:rRNA from 1 species